rnacentral:rRNA from 1 species
AUUGAACGCUGGCGGCAGGCCUAACACAUGCACGUCGAGCGAGCGGCGGACGGGUGAGUAAUGUAUGGGGAUAUGGCCGACAGAGGGGGAUAACUACUGGAAACGGUGGCUAAUACAGCAUACUAUAUGAUGAACACAGAGGGGAUUAGCUAGUAGGUGGGGUAAAGGCUCACCUAGGCGACGAUCUCUAGCUGGUCUGAGAGGAUGAUCGGCCACACUGGGACUGAGACACGGCCCAGACUCCUACGGGAGGCAGCAGUGGGGAAUAUUGCACAAUGGGCGCAAGCCUGAUGCAGCCAUGCCGCGUGUAUGAAGAAGGCCUUAGGGUUGUAAAGUACUGUCAGCGGGGAGGCGUUACCCGCAGAAGAAGCACCGGCUAACUCCGUGCCAGCAGCCGCGGUAAUAC